CAAUAGCGUAUGUUAAAGUUGUUGCGGCUAAAAGCUCGUAGUUGGAUUUCUGUUGAGGACAUCUGGUCCGCUCUAUGAGCGUGCAUCUAGUUUGGCCUCGGCAUCCGCUCUGCAAACGUUUCUGCGCUUGAUUGCGUGGCACGGAGGUAGGGCCUUUUACUUUGAGGAAAUUAGAGUGUUCACGGCAGGCAAUCGCCUUGAAUAUAUUAGCAUGGAAUAAUAACAUAGGAUCUUGGUUCUAUUUUGUUGGUUUCUAGGGCUAAGAUAAUGAUUAAUAGGGACAAUUGGGGCAUUCGGUAUUGCGGUGUUCAGAGGUGGAAUUCUUGGGAUUGAAUCUUGGCAUACCGUACGAACAUACUGCGAAAGCAUUUGCCAAGGAUGUUUUCAUUGAUCAAGAACGAAAGUAAGGGGAUCGAAGAUGAUUAGAUACCA
rnacentral:rRNA from 1 species